rnacentral:rRNA from 1 species
GACGAACGCUGGCGGCGCGCUUAACACAUGCAAGUCGAGCGAUGAAACUUUAACAGAACCCUUCGGGGCGAAGAUAAAGUGGAUUAGCGGCGGACGGGUGAGUAACACGUGAGUAACCUGCCUUAGACAUUGGGAUAGCCUCGGGAAACCGGGAUUAAUACCAAAUAAAAUCAUAAUGACACAUGUCAUAACGAUCAAAACUCCGGUGGUCUAAGAUGGACUCGCGUCCCAUUAGCUAGUUGGUGGAGUAAAAGCCUACCAAGGCGACGAUGGGUAGCCGGCCUGAGAGGGUGAACGGCCACAUUGGAACUGAGAAACGGUCCAAACUCCUACGGGAGGCAGCAGUGGGGAAUAUUGCACAAUGGAGGGAACUCUGAUGCAGCGACGCCGCGUGAACGAAGAAGGCUUUCGAGUCGUAAAGUUCUUUUAUAUGGGAAGAUAAUGACGGUACCAUAAGAAAAAGCCCCGGCUAACUACGUG